rnacentral:rRNA from 1 species
GUAGGGAAUAUUGGUCAAUGGACGAAAGUCUGAACCAGCCAUUUCGCGUGCAGGAAGAAGAUUCUAUGGAUUGUAAACUGCUUUUAGCAGAGAAGAAACGCCUUCAUUGAUGAGGGUUUGACGGUAUCUGCGGAAUAAGCACCGGCUAACUCCGUGCCAGCAGCCGCGGUAAUACGGGGGGUGCAAGCGUUAUCCGGAAUCACUGGGUUUAACGGGUGCGUAGGCGGGAAAUUAAGUCAGUGGUGAAAGUCUGUUGCUUAACGAUAGAAUUGCCGUUGAUACUGAUUUUCUUGAAUUGGGUUGAGGUUAGCGGAAUGUGACAUGUAGCGGUGAAAUGCAUAGAUAUGUCAUGGAACACCAAUUGCGAAGGCAGCUAGCUGGGCCUUGAUUGACGCUGAGGCACGAAAGCGUGGGUAGCGAACAGGAUUAGAUACCCUGGUAGUCC